AAAUUAAUUAUGAAUUAAUUUAGAGAUUAAAAGGAAGACUAAUUAGAUAAUGGGCUAUUGAUUUUAUAUAGUGUGGGCUAACACUCAUUUGUUAAUGGGCUAGGCUUAUAUGGAAGUCCAUGGAUGAUCCAUGGAGCUUUUAACCCAUGGAUCCUUGGAAAGGAAAAGACAUGGGUUAUUAGGGUUUCACCCUAACCAUGCACACUAUAUAAGCAUGCUUAUGGUGCAUGAAAUGGCAACUAGUGAACUAGUGUGUGUGAGCUUGUGUGUGGCCGAAAUUAUACAAGUGUGUAUACUCUCUCAAAGUUUUCCAAGAGUUUGUGGUGUUUUGUGAUUCCAUUUGAGGCAUUCACACUAUUGGUGCUUGGCCCUCAAACUCCUUAGGAACAAACUCAUCAAAAGGUAUGUAAUCUCUUCUAACUCUUUUAUGUUGAAAUGUUCCCCAUGCCAUGUUAGAUAGGUUAUAAACCUUGGAAAAUUAUUAUUUUGCAUGUAUUUAGACAAACAUAGAUCCAAGGUUUAUUAGGGUUGCAUGCACACUUAGGAAGUGUUAGAUUGCUCAAAACCCAACAGUGGUAUCAGAGCCUAGGCUUGCUUGUUUGAUACUUGAUGCAAAAUAGUGAAAAAAGUCGAAAUUGUUGCUGUCUGCAUGCUAGACUCGCCGAGUCCAUUGGGGGGACUCGCCGAGUCCAAGGCAAACUUCAACCUACUCGACGAGUCCGUUCGUGCACUCGGCGAGUAGGAUCGAAAGAAUGCAGAAUCUCGACUUUUGCUGCUGGAAAUGGACUGGAAACAUUACCCUAAAUUGUUUUGGUGUUGUAAAACUUAUUUUAGUUGGUGUAAUGGUUGUUCUAAUCCAUUUACAAUAGCAUAUAUCAAAAAUCCAUGAUUUUAUGUGUUCAUAUAAUUCUUGAAUUUUUGAUGAUCAUGUUCAUGUUCUUAUGAAUUUAGAAAAUGAUAGGAAUUAUUUGCUGAAUUGUUUAGAAUUAAUUCUUAAUCAUUUAUGUGUUUUAAUGGAGUCCAUAAUUUGUCCUCAAGUUAUGGAUUACCAAAGGUCACUUUCAUUUAACACACACUUAAAACACAUAAGUUACAUGAAAAUGAAGAGUCUUCAUUUUUAUGAACCUUUAAUUCAUAAGUUAUGAAAUGAAGAGUUUUGCAAAGUUACAAAACUUGUCCUCAAGUUUUGGAAUUUGUAAAGUUUCACACACUUUAAUAAACUUUAAUUCCAAACCUUAGAGUUUUAAUAGUUAAAAUUCAACCCUUAUACUAUUUAUAACAUUAAUGGUUAAUUAUUAUAUAUAUGUAUAAGAAUAAGUCGUUUUACCGUUAGUAGGCCUCAUUCACGAAGCCGGUCUAUAAGGUGGGUAUAAGGUUGUUGCCUAUAAAAUGGCGACUUAAUGGGUGUAUACUCUCACCCACCGCUUGCUUGAUCGGUGGAGGGUCGUUAGCCGAACGGGUAGAACAACGACUUUAAAUCCUCAUUAAAAGUAUAAUGAAUAUUAUAAAAUAACUAAACUCUUUUAAUUCCCAAUCUUAGUUAUUUUAGGAAAAUGUGAACAUGGUGCUAAUCCAUGGAAUUCACACUUUGUACCUUACCAAGUCGUUAGUGGAGCGUGUGUGGUUAACCGGCACACUAAUUAGACUAGUAAGGAUCACGAAGGGUAACUUAAUGUUGUCAUAGAUCAAUGGAGCGUGUGUGGUUAACCGGCACAUUGAUUAGGUGAUAAUAUUAGGAGUACCAAGUGAGUUAGCAUGGUUAUUCACACCUUGUUUUGUGAUCCUCGGCAUCCCAGUCACAAAACUUGAAGGGCACAAUCGAGAUUGAAACAUGCCAUUGAAAAGUUCAAUGAAUCUCAAAAGAAUCUAGGAAUUUCAAAUCCAAUUAAACCUAAUUAAUCAUUUCGUUUUCAUGGUGGAAAUUGGUGAAUCGUCAUUCGCCUACCUUUCAAAUAUAUUAUUACUUAGAUUACGGCAUCCCUCUUCUAAGUGUAAUAUAUUGUGAUUGGAUCCUAGCCUUAAUAUUACAUUUGGGUGUCUUAUUAAGGAUCCUAAAUAUCUAAUCUAAACUUACUUUCUUCUUUCAGAUGUCUUCCAACACUAAUGCUUCAGGCUCUAACCCAACUGGUUCUUUCUCUCUCAUGAAUCUUUGUGGGAGGGUCAUCUUUGAUGGUUCCAACUUCAUGGAUUGGAUUAGGAACAUCAGGAUGGUUACUCGUUACGAGGACAAGGAAUAUGUCCUCGAUAAGGAGUUAAAAGAACUUGAUGAGUCUACUGCUACUCCUGAGGAGAUCGCUGAAUUCAGGACUCAUGAGAGAGAUGCUACUAAGGUGGCAUGUAUCAUGAUGGCCACGAUGACAGCCGAGCUCCAAAAGUCAUAUGAAGAUUUCUACCCUUUUGAGAUGCACCAAGACUUGAUGGAAAGGUACCAUCAGAGUGCUCGUCAGGAGCGGUAUGAAAUAAUCUCCUCCAUAAUAACUACCCGCAUGAAGGACGGUGAAUCCGUCACGGGCCACAUGCAAAAGAUGCAAAGGUAUGUGGACCGUUUGCUGAAGCUGAAUGUUAACAUCCCCGAGGAGUUAGCAAUUGACAUCAUUUUGCACUCCUUGCCUUCUUGUUAUGAUCAUUUUCGAAUGACAUAUCAUAUGAACAAGGAGGAAGUUACCCUCAGCAAGCUUCAAGGACUCUUGAAGACCGCUGAAACCGGUCUUAAGGGUAAAGCGGUUGUUACCUCUACUACUCCUACUCCAACUUCUACCCCUGUUUUAGCUAUUGGGCAAGGCAAAGGGAAAAAGAGGAAGCACCCUUCGAAGGGUACCAAGGGAAAGUCUCUUGAAGGCUCCUCAUCCAAGACUAAGAACGGUUCUGUCACUCCUUCUGCCAUUCCAAAGGAUGCUGAAUGCUUUUAUUGCCAUGAAAAGGCACACUGGAAGCGAAACUGCCCUAAGUACUUGCAGGAUCUAAAGGAUGGGAAAGUGAAACCCACCUAUGCAGGUAUUUACACUAUAUUGUCUAAUUACUCAACAUAUUCUAACUCUUGGGUGCUUGAUACAGGAUGUGGUAUUCACAUAUGUUCUGAUUUGCAGGGCCUAAGAAGAAGUGAGGAUGUGGAGCACGGGAAGAUAAACUUAAUCAUGGGGAAUAGGAAGGCUUCACCUGUUUCCAAGAUUGGAGUUUAUACUUUGUUGCUUAAUAAUGGGUUAAAAUUAGAUUUGAAUAAAUGUGUAUACUCGUCUGAAAUGGCGAGGAAUAUUAUUUCUUUUCAUGCUUUGUACAAACAAGGUUUUACCUUUUCGUUUGAUAAUGAAUGUGGUGGUAUUAAUGCUUUCUUUAAUAAUGUGUUUUAUUUUAAAGCAUUACCUUGUGAUGGCGUGUAUGAAACUGUGUCGAUUGUAGACAACUUAGGAAAUAAUGUGUUGUAUAUUGAUUCUUCUACUAGCCUAGAUAAAGCAUCAUUGUGGCAUUGUCGUCUUGGACAUGUAAACAAGAAACGCAUAGACCAACUCCAAAAGAGUGGAGUCUUGGAAUCAUUUGACCUCAAAUCAGAUGAUAGUUGUGAAUCUUGUCUACUUGGAAAAAUGACAAAAUCACCCUUCACUGGAACUUGUGAGAGGGGUGAAGGUUUGUUGGACCUAAUACAUACUGAUGUAUGUGGGCCAUUCAAAACCGCCACAAGGGACGCUAAUCGGUAUUAUGUGACUUUUAUUGAUGAUUAUAGUAGAUAUGGGUAUGUCUACUUGAUCAAACACAAGUCCGAAACCUUUGAAAGGUUUAAGGAAUUCAAACAGGAAGUAGAAAAUCAAUUGGGCAGGAACAUUAAGAUGCUUCGAUCCGAUCGAGGUGGUGAGUAUCUUAGUACCGAGUUCCUUGACUAUCUUAAGGAGUGUGGGAUUGUCUCACAAUUGACUCCUCCCAGGACACCACAGCUGAAUGGUGUAGCUGAGAGGCGUAAUCGUACCUUGUUGGACAUGGUUCGCUCUAUGAUGAGUCGAGUUUCGUUACCAAUCUCUUUUUGGGGGUAUGCCUUAGAGACUGCCGCCCAUAUCCUUAAUCUAGUCCCUACAAAGAAGGUUACCAAAACACCUCAUGAGAUGUGGACUGGGAAGGUUCCCAAUUUGGACCACAUCAAAAUUUGGGGUUGCGAAGCCUUCGUGAGGCGUGAAACUCAUGAUAAGCUUGAACCCCGAAGUGAAAGGUGUAUUUUCAUCGGCUACCCACAGAAAUCCUUCGGUUACCUUUUCUACAGACCCAGUGAGAAUGUGGUCUUUGUAGCACGAAGAGGGAUCUUUCGCGAGAAAGAAUUUAUAAGCCAAGGAGACAGUGGGAGGCAGAUUGAUCUUGAAGAAAUUCAAGAAUCAAUUGGUGAAGGAACCUCAGACACUAGCAAUCAACCUGAGGAAGAAACUCCUGUUGAUCCAGCUGACGAGUCUGUACCUCCGAGACGUUCCACACGGGUUAGGAACACACCUUCGUUUUAUUAUGGUUUUCAUAUUACUACGGAAGGUGAUACGUUUAUUAGUGAUAGUACACUAGUAAAUUUGGAUGAACCUAGCAGUGUUAAGGAAGCCAUGGCAGGCCCGGAGUCUGCUAAAUGGAAGGAGGCUAUGGACAGCGAGAUACAGUCCAUGUAUGACAAUCAAGUUUGGAACUUGGUUGACAAUGUACCAGGCCGUAAAACAGUCGGGUGCAAAUGGAUCUUCAAAAAGAAGACCGACAUGGAAGGAAAAGUGCAUACUUAUAAGGCUCGACUGGUUGCGAAGGGUUUUACUCAAACUCAAGGUAUUGAUUAUGAUGAAACCUUCUCGCCGGUGGCCAAGAUUAAGUCUAUUAGGGUUAUGUUAGCCAUUGCAGCAUUUCAUGAUUAUGAAAUAUGGCAAAUGGAUGUCAAAACCGCUUUCCUUAAUGGAAAGUUGGCUGAGGAUGUGUACAUGAAUCAGCCAGAGGGUUUUGUCAAUGCAGAGUACCCUAAUAGAGUAUGCAAGCUUAAGAAAUCCAUUUAUGGAUUAAAACAAGCAUCUCGUAGCUGGAAUCUUUGUUUUGAUGAGAAGGUAAAAGAGUUUGGCUUCUUGAGAAGCGAAGAUGAGUCUUGCGUGUAUGUCAGAGCUAGUGGGAGUAUAGUUAGCUUCUUGGUACUGUAUGUGGAUGACAUACUACUCAUAGGAAAUGACAUCCCAACCUUGCAGGAGGUUAAGUCCUGGCUUGGGAAGUGCUUUGCUAUGAAGGACCUAGGGGAGGCUACCUAUAUCCUAGGGAUAAGGAUAUUAAGAGAAAGGAGUAGAAGACUAAUUGGACUUAGUCAGAGUAUCUACUUGGAUAAGGUGUUGAAAAGGUUCAACAUGGAGAAUUCCAAGAAAGGAGAUUUACCGAUCCAAAGCAAUACCAAACUGAGUAAGACUCAGAGUCCGAGUACAGAGGCUGAGAUAGCUGAGAUGAGCCAAUUACCAUAUGCUUCCGCAGUUGGCUCGAUCAUGUAUGCUAUGACUUGUACCCGUCCUGAUGUGGCAUUUGCUUUGAGCAUGGUCAGCAGGUAUCAGGGGAACCCUGGCAAGGCUCAUUGGACCGCGGUAAAGAACAUUCUCAAGUACCUGCGGAGGACUAAGGAUUGGGUCCUUACCCUUGGUGGCAGUGAUGACUUGAGAAUAUUAGGGUAUAGUGAUGCUGGUUUUCAGACUGAUAGGGAUAAUUUCCGCUCUCAGUCGGGCUGGAUCUUUACCUUAAAUGGAGGGGCAAUUUCUUGGAAGAGUUCCAAGCAGGAGACGGUGGCUGAUUCGACUUGUGAAUCAGAGUAUAUAGCAGCGAGUGAAGCAGCGAAGGAGGCGAUAUGGCUAAAGAACUUCAUCGGAGACCUUGGAGUUGUACCAGCUAUUAAGGAACCUAUAGAGAUUUUCUGUGACAACAAUGCUGCGGUUAUCUUAGCCAAGGAACCAAGAGAUCAUGGCAGAUCCCGACACAUUGACAGAAAAUAUCACUUCAUAAGGCACAAGAUUGAAGAAGGACUCCUUGUGACAAGGAGGAUAUCGUCAGAUGAGAAUCCUGCAGAUCCCCUUACGAAGGGACUGACGAGGGUUAAGCAUUUUCAGCAUGCGAGACGCAUCGGGCUGAGGGACGAUAUUAGUUUUACAGAUUAGAUAGUUUUCCUGAAACUUGUAAAAUGUAAUCGACGUUUGAUGAUGAAUAAAAUUUGUGAUUUAUUUAUGAGUAAAGUGUUACUAUCAUUGUCAAUUAUUUACUAUUGUUUCAGUUUUGCAUGUUUUGACUUCCAGAAUAAUUAAUUUAUUCAAACCUCCACAAUCGAUCAUACGUCAGAAGUAGGUAUGAAUCAAGAUUGUCAUGAAUUGGGUUUGUAGAUGCCUUAAAGGUGUUUAGGCAUGGCAAUGGUUGCUGCAACAUUCAUGAGUACUCAUAAGUUAUGAGUAUUGGUAUAAACCCACGCUCACUUGUAUCACUUCAUGGAAUUUAUCUCGAGUGAUCGUGAGACGAUAACAUCAUAUAAAUCUUUAAACCUAGAGAUAUGAGUUGUUACCUAUGAGUUGGUUGUGCAUUGAUUGCACGUAAACGCAUCAGUAACUUGAUGUUAUAAAACGUGCCUUUGUGUACAAUUCAAUAAGUAGUAGAACAAGCAUAUCAGUCGAAGUUUAUCUGUUCCUUCUAGAAAUAGAAGCGAUAUCCGGGCCCCUCGAUGAUUUUGUGUUGACCCAUAUACCAGGCCUGGUCAGAACUAAACCGAUGUGUUCAGUGAAGUUCUUCGUCAAACAAAUCGGAUAAUCGAGAAACAACUGCUAGACAAUAAGCNGGCUGAUAUCAUGAGAGCAGAGGAUUAUAUGAUUACUUGUCUUAAAAUGGCGCUUUAUAGUUCGACGGAGUUUUCGAGAGCUACGAUUGCUGGUUAGUUCCUAAAGUUAUAUAGGCAAAUAGAGUUAUUAGACUUAUCCAAGUGGGAGUUUAAUGGAUAAGGUGUCUAAGUCCAUAACUUAUUUGGUAUAUACUUGACCCGACCGGCAUGGUCCAUUUGGGUUGCAUCUCAUCCAAACUUUUAUGGAUAAUUUUAUGAGAGUUAUACACAUAUGUUUAUUGAUAUGAAAUUAUGUUAAAUAUAUUAAUAUGAAGUUACGUUAUUUAAUUAGUUUUAGUCUUAAAUUAAUUAUGGAUUAAUUUAGAGAUUAAAAGGAAUACUAAUUAAAUUAUGGGCUAUUUGUUUUAUAUNGGGCUAGGCUUAUAUUGAAGUCCAUGGAUGAUCCAUGGAGCUUUUAAACCAUGGAUCCUUGGAAAGGAAAAGACAUGGGUUAUUAGGGUUUCACCCUAACCAUGCACACUAUAUAAGCAUGCUUAUGGAGCAAGAAAUGGCAACUAGUGAACUAGUGUGUGUGAGCUUGUGUGUGGCCGAAAUUAUACAAGUGUGUAUACUCUCUCAAAGUUUUCCAAGAGUUUGUGGUGUUUUGUGAUUCCAUUUGAGGCAUUCACACUAUUGGUGCUUGGCCCUCAAACUCCUAAGAACCAAACUCAUCAAAAAGGUAUGUAAUCUCUUCUAACUCUUUUAUGUUGAAAUGUUCCCCAUGCCAUGUUAGAUAGGUUAUAAACCUUGGAAAAUUAUUAUUUUGCAUGUAUUUAGACAAACAUAGAUCCAAGGUUUAUUAGGGUUGCAUGCAUACUUAGGAAGUGUUAGAUUGCUCAAAACCCAACAACUCCCACACAGUUUAC
rnacentral:lncRNA from 1 species